CAAUAUUAACUCAUUACGGUUACAUUUUCGAGUUUAAAAGUUCUCCGAAAUUACAAUGAAAAAGGAAACAAGAAAAAUUACCACUCCAGCCGAUAAGAAAGAUUCAGGAGAUCAAGAUUGUAAGAGCAGGACUGCUAAAAGAAAGGCCAGUCUGAAAAGAA